ACUCAACCGUCAACCAGACUCAAACGGAGCUCCUUCACCACCUUUACAACGGACGCGUCGCCUACCUACUGUUUCCCGGUGCCCGUUUUCCGAAAGGAAUGUCUCUCGCAGGCCUCCCGUCGACGCUCUCUGGCCACAGUCUGUCGCUCUCGAGCCUGUAACAGGACCUCGUUGUACGCCGCACUUGGAUCGACUGUGUCCGUCGCCGUCGGUCACUAGACGGCAACUUGCCUAGACGGGAGAACGAGCCGCCGGAACCUAACCCUAAGAUUUUCUGGUUACGAGUCUUGCGCCAAGUCGCUCGCCGCCACCUUCUAUGUCUGGCCCGAUUGCCCUGCGAGGCUGAGGAUUCCGCUGAAAAGUGGGCUGCUGAGCGGUGGUGUCGGGCGGUCGGACCGGUGGCGGCGAUCUGCUCAGCGAGGGUAUUUGCCAUGAGCCAGGAUUGACUGUCAAGAGCCUCGAAGAGGACGCUCGUCGGCUACCUCGUUUUGAGCCCUGGACGUUGGUCGUUAUUGGGCCGUCUUCUGGAUGCGGGCGGCUUCCAUACGGACGGAGCCAUGAUCAUCCGCGGCGGACAGACCGUUUGCAUAAGGUCGCACGUACGAUCUGGGCGGCGGGCAGUGGAUGGGGGUGAGCACAGGUCGGCUUCAUACUGCCAGGCAUCUGCGUUUCGAAAUCCUACAUUACGGGGACUUGGCUCGUCGGAAGCACCUCGUGUUGCAAGCAUGUCCCGGAAACACACGGAAACGCACCCAAAGAGCCUGACUUUUCUCUGCCCGUUCCUGUUGAGCUCUCGGUACCCCUGAAGCUGUCCGCCGUCUUCACGGCUGUCCCACACGCAACCAGAUGAGGAAGCUCCGUCAAGACUGCUGUUAUGCUCCGAAGGCCUCGCCCCCGGCUUCUGGGCCAAUGGGGCGUGUGAUGCCACGAGCAUCUGGUCUGACCAGGCGCAUUAGCCUUCCGUCGCCCGAGGCGAUGUCCGAGGGGCGCCAUUCCCAUUCGGGAAGCUUUCCUCGCUGCUUCUUCGCGAGGGGAAGUCGGCCGAGACGACAGCGCGGUUUUUAUGGAUGUCUUUUGUCCGCGCGCGACGCCCUCCUUGCACGCUUAUUCAUAAGACGGAGAGGAAUCAAAAACUAGUCCUUGCGGGCCGCGUCCUACAAACGGAAGGAGCUUCGGUCUUGCGUCGUCGGUCGGAUGAGCGAGUUGUCGCUGAUGAUGGCUUUGGAACCCCUUGCCUCCCCUUAGGGCCGUCUGGACUGAUGCUGAAGGCCGCGUCGGGACCCAUCUCGAGUUGGAGUCAAAGCUUUGUGCUUGUCUGGCGCGGCGGACGGUGCCGGGGACACGACCCGACGGGUGGGCCUUUUUCCACUUGGUUAUCAGGGGGCAGGCCGUAUGGAAUGGCAGCCCUGGCUGUCCUCGUGCCAGAAAUGGUGGGAGGACGGCCCCCCUGCAGCGAGG
rnacentral:telomerase_RNA from 1 species